AGCGCGUGCAAAAUGCAGCUUGCCCCUCACCCACUCCACUUUACCGUGCAGAGCCAGAGAGGGAAAAUCACUUUCAUCUAGAGAAGCGCGUGCAAAAUGCAGGUCACCGCUGUCCCUAAAAAAAGAUUAAGGAUAGAUUUGAGUUGGCCUGAUGAUGAGAUCUUCCAGACUGCUCCGGCCCAUGGAGGAUGCAGAGCAUCACAUAAGAUCAAACAUUGAUAAGCCAGUACUUUACCAGUGUUUUAUCAAUAUCUUUAAAGGACGAGGAGUUUUUGCACAACAGGAGAGUGAGGUCCGAGCUGAUCAGUACAAUGAUUCUGAAAAGGUGUUUAUUUUCAAUGGAAAGGAAGAACAUGGUGGGGGGUGUUCCCUUAGCUAGCUAGCAGAAGAAGGAAAGAAACAUUCAAACUGAAGAA